UUUCAGUCCAAGAUCCCAAAAACAGAAGUAAAUAAAGAAAAGUGCCAGUAUUUAACCAAUUCAGCGCCAACCACCCAAAAGGCAAUAAGGCAUCUCCUGUGCCUUCAGCUCCCAAUAUAAAUAUAUUUAUAGAUAUGUAUAUAUAUCUAUCUCUCUAUAGAUAUAUAAAAUACAUGUCUGUGUGUUGCUCAAUAUUAAUUUUCUGACAAUAUAACAUAGUGUUGUACAUUAUAUAAACCAUGUUAAGAUAAUUGAAUAGGGGAGGGUCUCUGUUGGAAAAUUCAUAUUAAAAAUCAGUUGGCCCCCAAAAAAACAUUAAAAAAAUGGGACUGUAGGAAAUGAGAAAAAGGGCAUCUCACAUAUGUUGCCAUCACUAGGUAUCAAAGAUCCUUUACCUUAAUGUAUUCUCUGUGCAUGAAAAUUCUCUCACCCCAAUCUCUACCAAGAGUUUGUGAGACGCCCUCUUAUUCCACCAGAGGGAGCGUCACUGCCCCUACAACUUAUAGGAAUCCCUGUGUGUGAGACGCUCUCUUAUCGCAUCAGAGGGAGCGUCACUGACCCUAUAACUUAUAGGAAUCCCUGUGUGUGAGACGCUCUCUUAUCCCAUCAGAGGGGACGUCACUGACCCUAUAACUUAUAGGAAUCCCUGUGUGUAAGACGCUCUCUUAUCCCAUCAGAGGGGCGUCACUGACCCUAUAAUUUAUAGGAAUCCCUGUGUGUGAGACGCUCUCUUAUCCCAUCAGAGGGAGCGUCACUGACCCUAUAACUUAUAGGAAUCCCUGUGUGUGGGAUGCUCUCUUAUCCCAUCAGAGGGGGCGACACUGACCCUAUAACUUAUAGGAAUCCCUGUGUGUGAGACACUCACUUAUCCCAUCAGAGGGGACGUCACUGACCCUAUAACUUAUAGGAAUCCCUGUGUGUGAGACACUCACUUAUCCCAUCAGAGGGGGCGUCACUGACCCUAUAACUUAUAGGAAUCCCUGUGUGUGAGACGCUAUCUUAUCCCAUCAGACGGGGCGUCACUGACCCUAUAACUUACAGGAAUCCCUGUGUGUGAGACGCUCUCUUAUCCCAUCAGAGGGGGCGUCACUGACCCUAUAACUUAUAGGAAUCCCUGUGUGUGAGACGCUCUCUUAUCCCAUCAGAGGGGACGUCACUGACCCUAUAACUUAUAGGAAUCCCUGUGUGUGAGACGCUCUCUUAUCCCAUCAAAGGGGACGUCACUGACCAUAUAACUUAUAGGAAUCCCUGUGUGUGAGAUGCUCUCUUAUCCCAUCAGAGGGGCGUCACUGACCCUAUAACUUAUAGGAAUCCCUGUGUGUGAGGCGCCUCUCUUAUCCCAUCAGAGGGGAAGUCACUGACCCUAUAACUUAUAGGAAUCCCUGUGUGUGAGACGCUCUCUUAUCCCAUCAGAGGGGGCGUCACUGACCCUAUAACUUAUAGGAAUCCCUGUGUGUGAGACGC